CCUACGGGAGGCAGCAGGGAGGAAUAUGGGGCAAUGGGCGAGAGCAUGAACAAGCAAAGUCGCGUGAAGGAUGAAGGAUCUAGGGUUUGUAAACUUCUUUUAUAGGGGAAUAAAGUGGGGAACGGGUUCCUUUUUGUAGGUACAAUAGGAAUAAGCAUGGGCAAACUCGGUGCCAGCAGCCGCGGUAAUACGGAGGAGGCGAGCGUUGUCCGGAUUUAUUGGGUUUAAAGGGUGCGUAGGUGGUUACUUAAGUCAGCGGGGAAAGUUUGGGGCUCAACCAUAAAAUUGCCGUUGAAACUGGUUGACUUGAGUAUAUUUGAGGUAGGCGGAAUGCGUUGUGUAGCUGUGAAAUGCAUAGAUAUCACGCAGAACUCCGAUUGCGAAGGCAGCUUACUAAACUAUAACUGACACUGAAGCACGAAAGCGUGGGGAUCAAACAGGAUUAGAUACCCCAGUAGUC
rnacentral:rRNA from 1 species